rnacentral:rRNA from 1 species
UACGUAGGGUGCGAGCGUUGUCCGGAAUUAUUGGGCGUAAAGAGCUCGUAGGCGGUUUGUCGCGUCGACUGUGAAAACCCGAGGCUUAACCUCGGGCCUGCAGUCGAUACGGGCAGACUAGAGUUCGGUAGGGGAGACUGGAAUUCCUGGUGUAGCGGUGAAAUGCGCAGAUAUCAGGAGGAACACUGGAGGCGAAGGCGACUUCCUGGCCUGUUCUUGACGCUGAGGCGCGAAAGCUAGGGGAGCAAACGGG